rnacentral:rRNA from 1 species
CAGAAGAAGCGCCGGCUAACUACGUGCCAGCAGCCGCGGUAAUACGUAGGGCGCAAGCGUUGUCCGGAAUUAUUGGGCGUAAAGAGCUCGUAGGCGGCUUGUCACGUCGGAUGUGAAAGCCCGAGGCUUAACCUCGGGUCUGCAUUCGAUACGGGCUAGCUAGAGUGUGGUAGGGGAGAUCGGAAUUCCUGGUGUAGCGGUGAAAUGCGCAGAUAUCAGGAGGAACACCGGUGGCGAAGGCGGAUCUCUGGGCCAUUACUGACGCUGAGGAGCGAAAGCGUGGGGAGCGAACAGGAUUAGAUACCCUGGUAGUCCACGCCGUAAACGUUGGGAACUAGGUGUUGGCGACAUUCCACGUCGUCGGUGCCGCAGCUAACGCAUUAAGUUCCCCGCCUGGGGAGUACGGCCGCAAGGCUAAAACUCAAAGGAAUUGACGGGGGCCCGCACAAGCGGCGGAGCAUGUGGCUUAAUUCGACGCAACGCGAAGAACCUUACCAAGGCUUGACAUAUACCGGAAAGCAUUAGAGAUAGUGCCCCCCUUGUGG